CCUACGGGUGGCAGCAGUGGGGAAUAUUGGGCAAUGGGCGCAAGCCUGACCCAGCAACGCCGCGUGAAGGAAGAAGGCUUUCGGGUUGUAAACUUCUUUUCUCAGGGACGAAGCAAGUGACGGUACCUGAGGAAUAAGCCACGGCUAACUACGUGCCAGCAGCCGCGGUAAUACGUAGGGUGCAAGCGUUAUCCGGAUUUACUGGGGGUAAAGGGCGUGUAGGCGGGACGGCAAGUCAGAUGUGAAAACGACGGGCUCAACCUGUGGCCUGCAUUGGAAACUGUAGUUCUUGAGUACUGGAGAGGCAGGCGGAAUGCGUGGUGUAGCGGUGAAAUGCGUAGAUAUUAGGAGGAACACCAGUGGCGAAGGCGGUCUGCUGGACAGCAACUGACGCUGAGGCGCGAAGGCGUGGGGAGCAAACAGGAUUAGAUACCCUGGUAGUC
rnacentral:rRNA from 1 species